UACGAAGGGUGCUAGCGUUGUUCGGAAUUACUGGGCGUAAAGCGCACGUAGGCGGCCUUGUAAGUUGGGGGUGAAAUCCCGGAGCUCAACUCCGGAACUGCCUCCAAAACUACAAAGCUCGAGGAUGUGAGAGGAGAGUUGAAUUCCGAGUGUAGAGGUGAAAUUCGUAGAGAUUCGGAAGAACACCAGUGGCGAAGGCGACGCUCUGGCACAUUUCUGACGCUGAGGUGCGAAAGCGUGGGGAGCAAGCAGG
rnacentral:rRNA from 1 species